ACUUUAAUGAACAUGUAUGCUGGGACUAGUAAUAUGUAUUUUUGAUUUAAAACUUGAACACUUUUGUUUGAACUUUACAUUGUUACAUAUAUUUGUUUAAAUAUUCAUUUACAAUGGCAGUUUCUACACAUCAAGUAUGUUGUUUAGGGACCAUGUUUCUGUCCACACAUUUUUGGUGAAACCACUAGGCAGCCAUGCAGCAACAAGUGAUGGAGCAACAAGUGAUGCAGCAAUGUGCACAUCAGUUUUGCAGGCUUUACAAUUCCACUCUGCAGUAUCCAAUUUUGAAGUUAUAGAUCUUUCAAUGGUUGUAAAUAUAGGAAGAUGUGGUAUGAGUGCCAAUGAGACAACUUUACAUCCAAGUCACAAUUU
rnacentral:lncRNA from 1 species